CUGGCCGAGUGCACCCGGCAGUCCAGACAACGCAGACACCGGCCUGAGCAAGGGCUCGCUGUACAGUAAGCUUUGUAAUGAAGCAUAACAUCUAGCAAGAGAAACUAGAUCAGAAAGCCAUGGAAUCAAAGUAGGGAAGGUGAUGGACUGAAUGCGGUAAGCUGCCUGAAUGAAGCAAGAAGAUCUUCUUCCCAGGGCUC